CUACGGCCAUAUCACGUUGAAAUGCCGCUUCUCGUAUGAAGUUAAGCAACGUCGAGCCUGGUCAGUACCUAGAUGGGUGAGCGCUUGGGAAUACCAGGUGCUGUAA